rnacentral:rRNA from 1 species
UUGCACCGGGUGGAUGAGUGGCGAACGGGUGAGUAACACGUGAGUAACCUGCCCCCGAUUUCGGGAUAAGCCCGGGAAACUGGGUCUAAUACCGGAUAUGACCAGAGGACGCAUGUUCUGUGGUGGAAAGUUUUUCGAUCGGGGAUGGGCUCGCGGCCUAUCAGCUUGUUGGUGGGGUAAUGGCCUACCAAGGCGACGACGGGUAGCCGGCCUGAGAGGGCGACCGGCCACACUGGGACUGAGACACGGCCCAGACUCCUACGGGAGGCAGCAGUGGGGAAUAUUGCACAAUGGGGGAAACCCUGAUGCAGCGACGCAGCGUGCGGGAUGACGGCCUUCGGGUUGUAAACCGCUUUCAGCAGGGAAGAAGCGAAAGUGACGGUACCUGCAGAAGAAGUACCGGCUAACUACGUGCCAGCAGCCGCGGUAAUACGUAGGGUACGAGCGUUGUCCGGAAUUAUUGGGCGUAAAGAGCUCGUAGGUGGUUGGUCACGUCUGCUGUGGAAACGCAACGCUUAACGUUGCGCGGGCAGUGGGUACGGGCUGACUAGAGUGCAGUAGGGGAGUCUGGAAUUCCUGGUGUAGCGGUGAAAUGCGCAGAUAUCAGGAGGAACACCGGUGGCGAAGGCGGGACUCUGGGCUGUAACUGACACUGAGGAGCGAAAGCAUGGGGAGCGAACAGGAUUAGAUACCCUGGUAGUCCAUGCCGUAAACGUUGGGCACUAGGUGUGGGG